ACGAGAAGACCCCAUGGAGCUUUAAACCUGACAGCACCCGCUCAUUCUAUACCCCAUUAUUUGCCCGACCCCUGUCUGCUCAGUUUUAGGUUGGGGUGACCACGGAGUAUAAAAUAACCUCCAUGAAGAAGGGGAUAUUUCCCUUAUUAGAGAACCACACUUCCAAGAACUAAUAAAUUAAUUUUCAAUGACCCGAUACCCGAUAAUCGAUCAACGAACCAAGUUACCCUGGGGAUAACAGCGCAAUCCACCCUGAAAGCCCUUAUUAACAGGUGGGUUUACGACCUCGAUGUUGGAUCAGGGUAUCCCAGUGGUGCAGCAGCUACUGAGGGUUCGUUUGUUCAACGAUUAAAACCCU
rnacentral:rRNA from 2 species